ensembl:lncRNA
UAAGCAUAGGCUAUGUGUGUUUGUUUUUUAAUCCUGGACUAGAAGUACUGUAGGGCUGUGGCCUUGCCUAUGGGCUGUGUGUGAGACAACUGUGUACUUGCUGGUUUUAGUGAUCUUGUAUACAUAGUAUUCAACAUUUACACCUGGUCAUUGUUUGUAUUUAGGCCCCUAUUUUGUAUGUAUAUGGUGUUGUAGUGUUACCAGGUAGGGUUCUUGGCCUCCCCUCAUAAAUACUAAUUGAUAUGAGGCCAGAGAUCAAAUUCAUGCAAGGUUUUAUUCUGCACACCUACUUCAAAAACAAACAUUAUAUUCCCAUGUUCAGCUGCACACUGUGUAGGGGUGAGGCAGUUCCUUUUAUAGGAUGAGGUUUUGGGCAUGUGCAGGGGUUUGGCCGGAGGGGUAGCUGAGGUGGUUUUCCCACUCCUUAAAUAGUGGUGCAUGUAGGGGGUGUACAUAGUCCCCUGCUUUUGUCUCUGUUCUUCAAAAGUGGCAAUUGUAUCUUUCUCAUAAUUUGUCCCAAAUGUGCAAGCACAUGGUUCUUUCUAGUCAUUUAUAUUUUUGCUGUAUUUCAUUCUCCAGGAGAGGUUUGUCUACGUGCAAUCACUGCAGCCACUACAGCAAAGGGUGCCAGUUCCCAACCUGUCUCAGCCAGAAAGGCAGUUCAGUAUUCAAGUGUUUCCCUGCAGGUUUGAUUAACUUCCUAUGAGAUGCUUCUGCUUUCACCACAUCGUCUAAGUUUCAACCACUGCAAUGCUCUCAGUUCUACUACACUACUACUUUUAUCUCAACAAGAAAAUCACCAUGAUGAUGAGGUAAUAAUAUCCCAUUUUGUGACACUGUGUCCUGGUUAAAGAUAUCCCUAAACCAAUACCCAUCUAAUCUUGUGUGUUGAUGAGUUAUACUUAUAAAUAAGAAGGGAUUUUCAAGCUAUUUGUGCUGUUUCUACCCAUGAUGACCUAGUCGAAUGUGGAAAUGUCCUCAAGCAGAGUCUGCACCCUUUCCAGAGCAUGCCAGUUGUCAGAGGGAGGAACGGAAUGGUCAGUGUUUAUAAUGAUAGCCAGGAGGCUUUCAACCAAGAUAUUGGAUCCAAUUCUAACAGAGGCCUGGAAAGGUUAUAAAGCUGACAGCACUUUGAGAUGAUCUGUAAUGCUUACAAAAUACCUGAGAUUUCUCCCUACUGUCCUUCCUUGUUACUCAAAUGUGGCCUCAAGUGGUUUCUGGUCUGUAUACUUUCCCUCCUAUGUGGGACACAUUACCCAGGACAGAGGCUUUCUGGCACUGAGAGGUGAAGACUACUGAAUUUGGAAAAUCUGUCUCUUGAUCAGUGACGCUUUCAGAGAAAGAUCUUGAUCUUUGAAAAUCAAGGAGAGCUGUGAACAUUAAUAUAGGGAACCUUAACUAAAAGUGGAGUUGAGAAGGCCUGCAGAGGGAGCUCUCACACCUUACCCUUCAUGAUCAAUUGUCCUAAGAGGAGAAAGUCAGUUACUGACACCAACAGGAAGCUAGGAACCUUGCACUCCCAAACAGGAAGUUCACUUUGUUUCUACCCCAGCAGGAGGAAAGAAGACUUCCUUCUUAUCCAAAAAACAAACACUGCCAAUUAAAAAAUAAUUCUACGGUGUAG